AUCGCCAGUGUCUCCAUAAAGACAACUUUCCAACUGCAUAGGUUUUAAAUACUGAACAGACGGGAAGUUCGCCUAGUGGAAUCCAGAGUCUACAACAUCAGAAUGGGAAUCUGCGAUCCGGAUGAAUACUUCAAGCUCCCAGAAAGCUGUCACGAGGAGCGUGCCUUAAAGGAACACACCCCAGAGAUGGUGAAGUCCCAAAGCAAGAGCUUUUUCCACCGCUAUUAAACGUCGCUCACAAAUUUGAAAGGAGCUCCAAGACCAAUUCUGAUUAUGGAAAUAAUCUAGUUUGACUAAAAGACUAAAUGAGACAAGUAUAUUUUCUAGACAUGAAUAAUAAAUUUAUAAUAUACAUGUACUCUUGUUAAUUGAAAUACAUCUGGCGUAUAGCGCAAGGGAUUUCGUUUAUUCACUCAUUAAGAAGUGAGAAAUUGUACACUCUAAAUAAAUUUGUGUUGAGCAAUUAAACACAAUCUCUCUAUCAUUUUGUAAACAUUUUUAGAAGCUAGACACUAUGCGUUCAAUUCCUAAAUAUCGUUGUUCAAUUGCGAAACACUAUGUAUCCUUACUCGAAACAUGUUGGUAUUUUUAAACAUGCUUACAAACUGAUAGCAAGAAAGUGUUUAGAAAAGUGUUCAAUUGCUGAACAACUAAAAGCUAAAUUCGUAUUCGUUGGCCUAACCACACUUAACUUUAUUUGUUUUUAUUCAUGUAGAUUAGGAAACAAAUAUUGUUGAUGUUGGCAAUUAUGUUUUUUGUUUUUUUUCUUUGCAUGGUCAUUCACGUCCAUGUGCUACAUGUGACAGCUGCAAAUAAUCUGUGUAGCGAUACCUUUUUCGUAAAUUAAACUUUUCCUAAUAGCUUUACUGCAGCUGAAGCUUAAUUGUUGAUAUCCUCUUUCACUUCUAUGUGGGCCCCUUUUUGUAACUCUAUCAUUCAAUGCUUAUAAUGACUCAAACUCUUCUCCAACACAUGCUAGGCAUUUUACCUGCAAAGGACAGCUCAAAAGACAUCCCAAACAUUGACUUUUUGCCAUGCCCCAGGGCACCCUUUGCUUAGUAUUCUCAUUUUCGUGUCUUGCAUAAUUAAUGCAACCAUCCAACCUUCCAUGUAUUGCCUUCGUUCAUCAAAGAAAAGACAUGAUUGGGCUCAAAGUGAACCCCUCAAACCAUUUAGCAAAUGCAAAAUAAUCAACAAUAUGGUUUUCGUUCAAACUAACUUACUUUAUACUUCCGUGAACAUAUCCUGUUUAAGAAACCAAGCGCGGGCGGAUUCGUGUAUUAUGAAACAAAAUAUGCAAACGAUUUUUAAGAUUUGAGGGUUUGUUUUCUUCUGAGGAAUUCGUUGAAUUCGUUUUAUUGGGAAUUGGGAUGCAUGCCUUUAACGGUCUCAUUCAAAAUUCAAAACAGAGAGGGGCUUUAAGAUAUA